rnacentral:rRNA from 1 species
AGAGUUUGAUCAUGGCUCAGAUUGAACGUUGGCGGCAGGCCUAAAACAUGCAAGUCGAACGGUAACAGCGAGAGCUUGCUCUCGGCUGACGAGUGGCGGACGGGUGAGUAAUACGUAGGAAUCUACCUAGUAGUGGGGGACAACCCGGGGAAACCCGGGCUAAUACCGCAUACGCUCUACGGAGGAAAGCGGGGGAUCUUCGGACCUCGCGCUGCUAGAGGAGCCUGCGUCGGAUUAGCUAGUUGGUGGGGUAAAGCCUACCAAGGCGACGAUCCGUAGCUGGUCUGAGAGGCGAUCACCACACUGGACUGAGACACGGUCCAGACUCCUACGGGAGGCAGCAGUUAGGAAUCUUGGGCAAUGGGCGCAAGCCUGACCACCAUCCGCGUGUGUGAAGAAGGCCUUCGGGUUGUAAAGCACUUUCAGCGGUGAAGAAAAGCUCAGGGCUAAUACCCCUCGAGUCUUGACGUUAACCACAGAAGAAGCACCGGCUAACUCCGUGCCAGCAGCCGCGGUAAUACGGAGGGUGCGAACGUUAAUCGGAAUCACUGGGCGUAAAGCGCGCGUAGGCGGUCUGUUAAGUGGGAUGUGAAAUCCCCGGGCUUAACCUGGGAAUUGCAUUCCAAACUGGCCGACUAGAGUACGGUAGAGGGAGGUAGAAUUUCCUGUGUAGCGGUGAAAUGCGUAGAUAUAGGAAGGAAUACCAGUGGCGAAGGCGGCCUCCUGGAUCGAUACUGACGCUGAGGUGCGAAAGCGUGGGGAGCAAACAGGAUUAGAUACCCUAGUAGUCC